CGGGGUGUGGCGCAGCUCGGUAGCGCACCUGCUUUGGGAGCAGGGGGUCGGAGGUUCAAAUCCUCUCACCCCGACCA
rnacentral:tRNA from 1 species